GCCGAGGUGGCGGAAUAGGCAGACGCGCCGCCUUGAGGGGGCGGUGCCCGCAAGGGCGUGCGGGUUCAAAUCCCGCCCUCGGCACCA
rnacentral:tRNA from 1 species